GAUCUCAAAUCAGAUAAGACUACCCGCUGAACUUAAGCAUAUCAAUAAGCGGAGGAAAAGAAACUAACAAGGAUUCCCCUAGUAACGGCGAGUGAAGCGGGAAUAGCUCAAAUUUGAAAUCCUACUGGUUUCCAGUAUGAAUUGUAGUUUAAAGAAGCACUUUCGAAGACAAACUAAGAUUAAGUUUCUUGGGAUGGAACAUCAUAGAGGGUGAGAAUCCCGUAUGUGUUUUAGAUUUGUUUUUAUGUGAUGUGUUUUCAAAGAGUCGGGUUGUUUGGGAAUGCAGCCCAAAAUGGGUGGUAAAUACCAUCUAAAGCUAAAUAUUGGCGAGAGACCGAUAGCGAACAAGUACCGUGAGGGAAAGAUGAAAAGAACUUUGAAAAGAGCGUUAAAAGUACGUGAAAUUGUCAAAAGGGAAACAC
rnacentral:rRNA from 1 species